rnacentral:rRNA from 1 species
UACGUAGGGGGCAAGCGUUGUCCGGAAUCAUUGGGCGUAAAGCGCGCGUAGGCGGCCCGGUAAGUCCGCUCUGGAAGUCCAGGGCUCAACCCUGGAAAGCGGGUGGAUACUGCCGGGCUAGAAUCCGGAAGAGGCGAGUGGAAUUCCUGGUGUAGCGGUGGAAUGCGCAGAUAUCAGGAGGAACACCAAUAGCGAAGGCAGCUCGCUGGGACGGUAUUGACGCUAAGGCGCGAAAGCGUGGGGAGCAAACAGG